CCUACGGGUGGCUGCAGUGGGGAAUAUUGGACAAUGGGCGAAAGCCUGAUCCAGCCAUGCCGCGUGUGUGAAGAAGGCCUUCGGGUUGUAAAGCACUUUCAGUGGGGAAGAAAGCCUUGGGGCUAAUACCCUCGAGGAAGGACAUCACCCACAGAAGAAGCACCGGCUAACUCCGUGCCAGCAGCCGCGGUAAUACGGAGGGUGCGAGCGUUAAUCGGAAUUACUGGGCGUAAAGCGCGCGUAGGCGGUCUGAUAAGCCGGUUGUGAAAGCCCCGGGCUCAACCUGGGAACGGCAUCCGGAACUGUCAGGCUAGAGUGCAGGAGAGGAAGGUAGAAUUCCCGGUGUAGCGGUGAAAUGCGUAGAGAUCGGGAGGAAUACCAGUGGCGAAGGCGGCCUUCUGGACUGACACUGACGCUGAGGUGCGAAAGCGUGGGUAGCAAACAGGAUUAGAUACCCGGUCGUC
rnacentral:rRNA from 1 species